GACGAACGCUGGCGGCGUGCUUAACACAUGCAAGUCGAACGGAAAGGCCCCUUUGGGGGUCCUCGAGUGGCGGACGGGGGCGGAACACGUGCGUAACCUGCCCUUGACUUCGGGAUAACUUCAGGAAACUGGGGCUAAUACCGGAUAGGAAUACUUGCUGCAAGGGGGGGGUUGGAAAGCUUCGGCGGGUUUGGAUGGACUCGCGGCGUAUCAGCUUGUUGGUGGGGUAGUGGCUUACCAAGGCGUUGACGGGUAGCCGGCCUGAGGGGGCGACCGGCCACACUGGGACCUACGGACGGCCCCGGUUGCGACGGGAGGCAGCAGGGGGGAAGCUUGCCCGAUGGGCGGCAGCCGGAUGCAGCAGGGCCUCGGGUGGUAAGACUGUCUUAGGGUUGUAAACCGCAUUCAGCAGGGGCGAAGCUUGUGGUGACGGUACCUGCAGAAGAAGCACCGGCUAACUACGUG
rnacentral:rRNA from 1 species